AUGAAACCGCAGAAUACCAGACGCCAGCGAGGUUUUUUUUUUUUUCUUUUAAACUUCAUGUCGCUCUCAGAAAAUGCAGCAGGUCCCCAAAUGGUCCAAGCGGAAAAACACACGCCACUUCCCAGUCUUCCCGGGGACACACACCAAGCCCAGAGUGGGGGUCUUGUAUCCCCCACUUUCGUUUCCCGGGAGCCUGGGGCCUGCGUGGCAGAGCCGCGUCCCAGCCGGGGCCGGGGGGCCGGGCCGGGGGGCCGGGUCGGCCCUUCCAGGAACGGCGGGGAACUUUCCGCCGCCGCGCCAGAGAGACAAUGCCGCGGCCGGCGCCCGCGCCUCCGCGCAGGGAGGGCGCCCCAUCGGCGGGGCCGCGGCCACCGGGCGCGCUGUCCCGGCCCCUCUCCGGGAGGACCCCCACCCGCCCCACCUCGGCGCCCGCCGCGGCGGAGCAGACCCCCCGCGCGCCUUCGCCUGGCCCUGCGGCGCCCGGGGACCCCGACCGGGGAUGCAGCCGGGAGCCCGGCCGGCGCCUCUCCGCGCGGGGGGCGGGCAGGGGGCGCCGACGCCCCAGGGCGACCCCGCGCGGCCCCGCCGAGCCCGUCCGGGCGCCCGCAACUCACCGGGACCGGGCGGGCCGCUGGGCAUUAUUCCAUCGCGGGCUCGGCGCCCCGGCGCCCUCGCGGGCGAUCGCGGCUCGGGGAAGGGCGGGCGGCGGGCGGGCGGCGCGGGCGGCGCGGGCCGGGCUGCCGAGCGCAGAGGCCCCGCGGCGGCGGCGAGCGCGGGAGCGGAGCGCGGCGCAGGAAGGGGCGGGCGACCAUGUGCCGAGGGGAGGAGGCCGCGGCGGCGCGAGCGGCUCGGACGAUCCCGCGCGGCGGCGGAGGGCGCGGGUUUCAGGAAAUCCAAACCCUUCGACAGGAAAUCGGGAUCCUGACUAAGCAUUCCCGGCCCGCGGCCGCUCCGCGCCGGGGGCUCCCGCCUCGCUUAACCCUUGGGCCGCCGGCGCGCGGGCGGGGGGCAGGCGGGGUCCCCCACCCCCCCGCCGGCCUGCCCCCUCCUUGUCCGGCGGUGGAAGGGUGGGAUUUGUCCACAUAA
rnacentral:lncRNA from 1 species